rnacentral:snoRNA from 1 species
AGCCUAACUGUAGAUGAAAAUGGGCAGUGUUGGUCAGUGUCUAGGAUUGGUCAAUGUGGCUCAAUUGAGACACAGGUCAUGCUUCGAUCACAGUCAAUGCAAAAUACUGAUCUAAACAAGUGAGAACA